rnacentral:ncRNA from 2 species
AUGGGUGCGUAAUCCGAGACUCGUAUAAUGCCGGGAAUAUGGCCCGGCAGUCUCUACGAGGCGACCGUAAAUCGCCUUGCUACGAGGUCGGGCAGGAACGUC